GCAGGCCUAAUACAUGCAAGUCGAACGGUAACAUUGGUGCUUGCACCAGAUGACGAGUGGCGCACGGGUGCGUAACGCGUAUGCAACCUACCUUUUACUAGAGUAUAGCCCAGAGAAAUUUGGAUUAAUCCUCUAUAACAUCUUUUAAUUUCAUGAUUUUAAGAUUAAAGUUUUAACGGUAAAAGAUGGGCAUGCGUCCUAUUAGUUUGUAGGUGAGGUAACGGCUCACCUAGACUACGAUAGGUAGGGGCCCUGAGAGGGGGAUCCCCCACACUGGUACUGAGACACGGACCAGACUCCUACGGGAGGCAGCAGUAAGGAAUAUUGGACAAUGGACGAAAGUCUGAUCCAGCCAUGCCGCGUGCAGGAUGACAGCCCUACGGGUUGUAAACUGCUUUUAUACAGGAAGAAACACUCCGACGUGUCGGAGCUUGACGGUACUGUAAGAAUAAGG
rnacentral:rRNA from 1 species